UACGGAGGAUGCGAGCGUUAUCCGGAUUUAUUGGGUUUAAAGGGUGCGUAGGCGGGCUUUUAAGUCAGCGGUAAAAAUUCGGGGCUCAACCCCGUCCGGCCGUUGAAACUGGGGGUCUUGAGUGGGCGAGAAGAAGGCGGAAUGCGUGGUGUAGCGGUGAAAUGCAUAGAUAUCACGCAGAACUCCGAUUGCGAAGGCAGCGUACCGGCAUCCAACUGACGCUGAGGCACGAAAGCGUGGGGAUCAAACAGG
rnacentral:rRNA from 1 species